rnacentral:tRNA from 1 species
UGAUAAGAGGAGCCUCACCACUCCAUAAAUGGAAUUACAAACCACCGCCUAAAUUCAGCCAUCUUACC